UACAGAGGUCUCGAGCGUUAGGCGGAAUCACUUGGCUUAAAGCGUGUGUAGGUGGAUCGUUAAGUACCUUGUGAAAUCCCACGGCUUAACCGUGGAACUGCUUGGUAUACUGGCGGUCUUGAGCCACUUAGGGGCUACCGGAACAAAUGGUGGAGCGGUGAAAUGCGUAGAUAUCAUUUGGGACGCCAAUGGUGAAAACAGGUAGCUGGGAGUGUGCUGACACUGAGACACGAAAGCCAGGGGAGCAAACGGG
rnacentral:rRNA from 1 species